GUCCUGCUGACGAGUCCCAAACAGGACGAAAUGCGCGUUUUGGAU
rnacentral:hammerhead_ribozyme from 1 species